rnacentral:lncRNA from 1 species
CGAGACAGGGAGGAGGAUGAGACGGUCUCUUGAAGGCGCUGGUGACAUCGCUCUGCAAAUAGCAAGUUGGAGCCCCGCGGAGGAAGGAGGGAGCCAAGAUGUCCGUGCAGCGCUCCUGCUGAGUGCCUCCCCGGUGUUCACCCAGGUUUGGCGUGGGGCUUGAGCAGGAGCUGUCAUCCAAGACGUGGCCAUCAGGGCAUCCUACCCCACCUCCGACCCUUGGAAUCCCACCACAUGCCGUUUGACCCCCAGGGAGAAUGUCCCUACCUAAAAUCCAGAUAGAAGAGGCCCUGGACAGAACGGAUGCUGGCACUGGAAGUGCUGUUCCUCCUGAUGAUCACCUAAGGAGCCUCAAGGCCCUGACUGAGAAGCUGAGGCUGGAAACAAGACGCCCAUCCUACCUGGAGUGGAAGGCGAAGCUGGAGGAGCAGGCAUGGAAGAGCCCCCAACCCGUUGGGGAUGAGGAGGGGAACAAGGCCAAAAAGGGCGCAGAGGACACUGUCCCUCUGAGAAAGGUGCAGCUGCACCUCAACGGGAGCCCUGCCCAGGACAAGGUGACACUUACCUCAGGGAAAAUAGGUGACUUUGAGAGCAUCGAUGAAGCUUUGACGUGGCUCAGGAAGGAACUGGUGAGUGGUUUCCUGUCCCAGAUAGAUAGCACUCAUUUUCAAGAGAAAAGGAAGGAAAUGAGUAGCUCCUUGUUCCCACC